UCUAGAAGCUGAGUUUGGAUGC
rnacentral:siRNA from 1 species